CGGUAGGCCUAACACAUGCAAGUCGAACGGCAGCACAGGAGAGCUUGCUCUCUGGGUGGCGAGUGGCGGACGGGUGAGGAAUACAUCGGAAUCUACUUUUUCGUGGGGGAUAACGUAGGGAAACUUACGCUAAUACCGCAUACGACCUACGGGUGAAAGCAGGGGAUCUUCGGACCUUGCGCGAUUGAAUGAGCCGAUGUCGGAUUAGCUAGUUGGCGGGGUAAAGGCCCACCAAGGCGACGAUCCGUAGCUGGUCUGAGAGGAUGAUCAGCCAACACUGGCAAGCCUGAGACACGGUACAGACUCCUACGGGAGGCAGCAGUGGGGAAUAUUGGACAAUUGGGCGCAAGCCUGAUCCAGCCAUACCGCGUGGGUGAAGAAGGCCUUCGGGUUGUAAAGCCCUUUUGUUGGGAAAGAAAUCCAGCUGGCUAAUACCCGGUUGGGAUGACGGUACCCAAAGAAUAAGCACCGGCUAACUUCGUGCCA
rnacentral:rRNA from 1 species